rnacentral:rRNA from 1 species
GGGGAGCAAACAGGAUUAGAUACCCUGGUAGUCCACGCCGUAAACGAUGUCGACUUGGAGGUUGUGCCCUUGAGGCGUGGCUUCCGGAGCUAACGCGUUAAGUCGACCGCCUGGGGAGUACGGCCGCAAGGUUAAAACUCAAAUGAAUUGACGGGGGCCCGCACAAGCGGUGGAGCAUGUGGUUUAAUUCGAUGCAACGCGAAGAACCUUACCUGGUCUUGACAUCCACGGAAGUUUUCAGAGAUGAGAAUGUGCCUUCGGGAACCGUGAGACAGGUGCUGCAUGGCUGUCGUCAGCUCGUGUUGUGAAAUGUUGGGUUAAGUCCCGCAACGAGCGCAACCCUUAUCCUUUGUUGCCAGCGGUCCGGCCGGGAACUCAAAGGAGACUGCCAGUGAUAAACUGGAGGAAGGUGGGGAUGACGUCAAGUCAUCAUGGCCCUUACGACCAGGGCUACACACGUGCUACAAUGGCGCAUACAAAGAGAAGCGACCUCGCGAGAGCAAGCGGACCUCAUAAAGUGCGUCGUAGUCCGGAUUGGAGUCUGCAACUCGACUCCAUGAAGUCGGAAUCGCUAGUAAUCGUGGAUCAGAAUGCCACGGUGAAUACGUUCCCGGGCCUUGUACACACCGCCCGUCACACCAUGGGAGUGGGUUGCAAAAGAAGUAGGUAGCUUAACCUUCGGGAGGGCGCUUACCACUUUGUGAUUCAUGACUGGGGUGAAGUCGUAACAAGGUAACCGUAGGGGAACCUGCGGUUG